rnacentral:rRNA from 1 species
UGAGCAACUUGCCCCUGGCUCUGGGAUAACCCCGGGAAACCGGAGCUAAUACCGGAUACGAGACCGAUUGGCAUCUUUACGGUCUGGAAAGUUUUUCGGCCAGGGAUGGGCUCGCGGCCUAUCAGCUUGUUGGUGAGGUAAUGGCCCACCAAGGCGACGACGGGUAGUCGGCCUGAGAGGGCGACCGGCCACACUGGGACUGAGACACGGCCCAGACUCCUACGGGAGCAGCA